rnacentral:rRNA from 1 species
GACGAACGCUGGCGGCGUGCCUAAUACAUGCAAGUCGAACGGGGUAAGCCUCUUCGGAGACUUACUUAGUGGCGAACGGGUGAGUAACGCGUGAGAAACCUACCUUUCAGUGGGGGACAACAGUUGGAAACGACUGCUAAUACCGCAUGAUGUAGCGAGGGGGCAUCCCUUUGCUACCAAAGCUUUAUGUGCUGAAAGAUGGUCUCGCGUCUGAUUAGCUAGUUGGUGAGGUAACGGCCCACCAAGGCGACGAUCAGUAGCCGGACUGAGAGGUUGAACGGCCACAUUGGGACUGAGAUACGGCCCAGACUCCUACGGGAGGCAGCAGUGGGGAAUAUUGGGCAAUGGGCGCAAGCCUGACCCAGCAACGCCGCGUGAGGGAAGAAGGGUUUCGGCUCGUAAACCUCUGUCCUAUGGGACGAAGAAGUGACGGUACCAUAGGAGGAAGCCCCGGCUAACUACGUG